UGGUGGAUGUGGGGAAUAGCAUAGCCGCGGGAAAAGUUGAACGGUGGGUUUAUUUUUAAAGUUCCAGGAGCAUACGCUUAUAGAUGACGUAGAUCACAUUUUUCGUCACAAACUCGUUUUCGAAUUUUUGUUUUUGACUGGUCAGAAGUGUUUCGUUUUCCCGUUGCAAAAUUACCGAUAAAUUACUUCUCAAAGGCAUCGCUUCAAAAUCAUUAGAGGAAAUAUUCAUCGGAAGAUCACCCUCUUGGGGCUGGGAUGUGCAGAAGAUCUACUGGCAUGUUACAGAAUGAAGUACACCCUGCCAAAGAGCCUAUCUGCAGCAGUCCAGAAGCUAAUUCCUGGGAUCUUGCAGAAGAAUCCAUACGAUCGCUUCAUUUCAGGAGAGAUCCUGCAACAUGAGUUCCUCACUAAGCUGAAACAUUCCCAGCCGCUGCCAUCGGACUUCACACCUAAUAAACUGCCACCAGCUGUGUGAUGGUGCUACACUUCAAGCUUUCAAACUCCAAAAAAGAUCCAAAAAUGAUCCCCUUCAACACAAACCCCAAGCAAUCCUGCAUCUCUCAGCUCAUCUGGCUUAGAUGCUUGACCUGGCAUUUCCAUAGUUUCUUGCAGUUGAUAAGCCUUUAUGUGGGGAGCUACACAUAGUUCGGGAGGUCAGUAGAAAGCCCCUGAGCUCUCAGUCAGAGGAGUCAGUGGAAGUCCCUUCUCUCAGUGUUUAGCUGAAUGCAAACAAUCCACUGACCGUCCAAGCAGAGGAGAAGUCAAGGAAAUUAAGUGAAGUCAUUAUUAAUCAGGUUACCGAUAGACCAUUGAUCACCUGGGAACUGGACAGGGCAAGGAAGUCUAGUUCACCCUGUGUUUGCUGGGUCAACAACUGCAAAGCUACCAUCUGGGUGGCAGAGGAUGGAUCAAAAUGUGCUGUUGGUGACCCAACAAACUCGUGAUGAACUGGAUUUCCUUGACCGACGCUCUGUCCAGGUCAGUGUGUUUGUUGGGUGACUAAUGACCAGAGUAUGAGUCAUAGAAGUCCCGUCCCUUUGGAAGCACCAUGCUGUGUAGUGCUUAAGGUGAGCCUAUUGCUUACAUUGUAUAGCUUUCGCAAGGAUGUAGUGAAAGUUAAUGUAGUCCACUUUGGACUUUGGUGAGCCACGUACUUGAUUAAAUGGGACCUAUGUGCAUUUGCUGUGACAUCUGACAGUGUAGACUGGCUGUGCUGAUCUACUGGGGGCCACAUCAGCGAACGCCUGAGUGCCCCCCCCCCCAGCUCCUUGUUUUCCACACAGGAGCAUUUUUUCCCCUUUCUAAAUAAAGGUCACGUGUUGCAAGCACUGAAGUUCACUGACUAAUGGCAUCAAGGGACAUCGCAAUUUGUGCAACCAUUCAGUUUUAAUUUCUGCAAUAAAAUCUUUUAAGUUUCAGUUAACUUGAUUUUGAGUAUAAGUACCAAAAAAUAGUUGGUUGUGUGUUUUGUGAAUGCCUGUGAUCUCGAG